GCCGAGGUGGUGGAAUUAGGGGGUGGUGGGCGUAUGCCUGUGUGGGUUCUAAUCCCGCCCUCGGCACCA
rnacentral:tRNA from 1 species